UAGGUGAAAAUACAGGGGGCCUGAAGAAUGGCUCCUCUGUUUGUAACACACCCAGCAGGAAUCUGGAGUCAUUGUGAUGACAGGCAUGAAGCUUGUGGCCUCCCUACAAACAAAUGCUGUACAUGU
rnacentral:snoRNA from 1 species